GGAGAGGACGACGGCCGGAGGGGGGAGGAGGCGGCCGUAGCGCCAUUUUGUGGAAGCGAAGUGGGUAGCUAGGCUGCUCCUGGAUCCCUUGCUGCUUCAGCUUCCCCGUCGGACUUCCUAGCAGCGGCCUAGCGGAAAAUUACGAUGUCUGAAUAUAUUCGGGUAACCGAAGAUGAGAAUGAUGAGCCUAUUGAAAUACCGUCAGAAGACGAUGGGACAGUGCUGCUGUCCACAGUUACAGCCCAGUUUCCAGGGGCAUGUGGGCUGCGCUACAGGAACCCAGUGUCUCAGUGUAUGAGAGGUGUCCGUCUGGUAGAAGGAAUUCUUCAUGCCCCCGAUGCUGGCUGGGGAAAUCUGGUAUAUGUUGUCAACUAUCCCAAAGAUAACAAAAGAAAAAUGGAUGAGACAGAUGCUUCAUCAGCAGUGAAAGUGAAAAGAGCGGUCCAGAAAACAUCUGACUUAAUAGUGUUGGGUCUCCCUUGGAAAACGACUGAACAGGAUCUAAAAGAAUAUUUUAGUACCUUUGGAGAAGUUCUUAUGGUUCAGGUCAAGAAAGAUAUUAAAACUGGUCAUUCAAAAGGGUUUGGCUUUGUUCGUUUUACGGAGUAUGAAACCCAGGUGAAAGUAAUGUCACAGCGACAUAUGAUAGAUGGACGGUGGUGUGAUUGUAAACUCCCAAACUCUAAGCAAAGCCCAGAUGAGCCUUUGAGAAGCAGAAAGGUGUUUGUUGGGCGUUGCACAGAGGACAUGACUGCUGACGAGUUACGGCAGUUCUUCUGCCAGUACGGAGAAGUGGUGGAUGUCUUCAUUCCCAAACCAUUUAGGGCAUUUGCCUUUGUUACGUUUGCAGAUGAUCAGGUUGCCCAGUCUCUUUGUGGAGAGGACUUGAUCAUUAAAGGAAUCAGCGUACAUAUAUCCAAUGCUGAACCUAAGCACAAUAGCAAUAGACAGUUAGAAAGAAGUGGAAGAUUUGGUGGUAAUCCAGGUGGCUUUGGGAAUCAGGGUGGAUUUGGUAACAGUAGAGGGGGUGGAGCUGGUUUGGGAAACAAUCAAGGUAGUAAUAUGGGCGGAGGGAUGAACUUUGGUGCUUUUAGCAUUAAUCCAGCAAUGAUGGCUGCAGCCCAGGCAGCUCUGCAGAGCAGUUGGGGUAUGAUGGGCAUGUUAGCCAGUCAGCAGAAUCAGUCAGGCCCAUCAGGUAAUAACCAAAGCCAAGGCAACAUGCAGAGGGAGCCAAAUCAGGCCUUUGGUUCCGGAAAUAACUCUUAUAGUGGUUCUAAUUCAGGUGCAGCAAUUGGUUGGGGAUCAGCAUCAAAUGCAGGGUCAGGCAGUGGUUUUAAUGGAGGCUUUGGCUCAAGCAUGGAUUCUAAAUCUUCUGGCUGGGGAAUGUAGACCUUGGGUUAUAGCUGGUCAGUAUAGACUGGUGGGAAUUCAAAUUUUUCUAAACUCAUGGUAAGUAUAUUGUAAAAUACGUAUGUACUAAGAAUUUUCAAAAUCGGUUUGUUCAGUGUGGAGUAUAUUCAGCAGUAUUUUUGACAUUUUUCUUUAGAAAAAGAGGAAGAGCUAAAGGAAUUUUAUAAGUUUUGUUACAUAAAGGGUUGAAAUAUUGAGUGUUUGAAAGUGAACUGCUCUUUGCCUGAUUGGUAAAUCAACACACUACAAUUUAUCAAAAGGUUUCUCCUGUAAUAUUUUAUCCCUGGACUUGUCAAGUGAAUUCUUUGCAUGUUCAAAAUGGAAACCAUUGAUUAGAACUACAUCCUUUUCUCCUUGUUUUUAAUUUGAACCCCACCAUAUGGAUUUUUUUCCUUAGGAAAAUCUCCUUUUUGGAGAUCGUGGUGUCACAGUGUUUGGUUCUUUUGUUUUUGUUUUUGUUUUUUAACACUUGUCUCCCUUCAUAUACAAAAGUACAAUAUGAAGCCUUCAUUUAAUCUCUGCAGUUCAUCUCAUUUCAAAUGUUUAUGGAAGAAGCACUUCAUUGAAAGUAGUGCUGUAAAUACUCUGCCAUAGGAAUACUUCUGUCUACAUGCUUUCUCAUUCAAGAAUUCGUCAUCACACUGCACAGGCUGCGUCUUUGACGCCCUGAAUGCAAAGAAUUCAUAGCAGUUAAUUCCCCUUUUUUGACCCUUUUGAGAUGGAACUUUCAUAAAGUUUCUUGGCAAUAGUUUAUUUUGCUUCAAAUAAACUUAUUUGAAAAGUUGUCUCAAGUCAAAUGGAUUCAUCACCUGUCAUGCAUUGACACCUGAUACCCAGACUUAAUUGCUAUUUGUUCUUGCAUUGUCCAAAGUGAAAAGUUUUUUUUUUUUUUAAUCUAGUUUUUAAUAAGUCUGGGUGACCGCACCUAAAAUGCACUUGCACUGUUACUCAGCAGCAGUAACAUGGUAACACUUAAAAUGGUAUUCGGGGACCUCCAAAGACUAAACUGACAAGCCUUCAAGGAGCCCAGGGGUAAGUUAACUUGUCAAUGGCAUGGUUUUAAUCCCUUAUUUACACUUGUAUAAAUCUAGUUACCAGUCUUAGAAGGCGUUCAGUGUUGAGUAGCCUUCUGUUUAACAUGUUUGUGGUAAUACAUAGCUAUGGGUAUUUAAUUCUACCCUUAAAAAAAAUUGAAGUUUAGAAGUAAACUAUUUGGCAAAGAUUUGUUUUUAAAGUAUUUGGUCAUCUAAAUGCAUUCAUCUAAAAACUUUUGAACCAGUUGAAUAAAAAUUUUUGUUGUCACCACAGUUUAGUGUCUGGAGUCUUACUGGAAAAACAAGUUUUUUUGUUUUUGUUUUUUUAUGUGUGACAAAGAUGCUGGAAAGUUUCCUUUAAAAAGUGAGUCUCAAGAAGUUGCACUUUAUAUGCACGAGUUAGUCAAAACUCAGUGAAUUUUUACGUAUAAUGGUAACUGGCCAGAAUGAAAAAUUUUGUUAAAUGCUAGCUAUUAAACCUUUUUAGGGAGGAGUGGCCAACUAAAAUGAAAUGAGAUUUUUAAGGUUAAGUGUGAGCUUAAAUUUUGGCGUUAGGAAAAAGAUGUUAAGUACUUAGUAAUUCAGAAGAUAUAUGUGAUAAUUAGAAUAAUUUUUUUGUUGAAUAUUAGAGUAACUCUUAAUUGUGUAUUUGAGUUCUGUAUUCAGCUAUUGUAUGAUCUGUAAUCUGUUGUUUGAUUAAAUGUGCCCACAUACUUCAUGUUCAUUGUAAGAAGGAAAACACUGCAGAUUUAUCUAUAAUACCACCACUUAUUUUUAAUGUUGUAUUUCAUCUUUUGGAAAUGCCACAUUUGAUUCAACUGUCUUCUGAAUCUGAACAUCAUUUAGGUUAUCUCUAAGUGCUAAGAACAUCCUUACAGUUAAAUUAAAAUCAUAGCAUUGGAAUUACCAGGUCAAAGACUAUGCAUACUUUUAAGACUGUUGAAAUAUAUUGCCAAAUUGUCCUUUAGAAAAUUUGUUGUCUUUGACAAUGUGAAAUAGUGCUGUUCCAUGUUCUUUUUGUCUUGUCAGUUUGAUAAGUGAAAAAUUAUAUCUCACCAUUUUGUGGUAUUGGUUUUAACAUGGAAAUCAGUCAGUAUCUAGGCUAUAAAGUAUUGAUAUUUCCAAUUUAUCUAUCAAAAAUCCCUAUGAUUCAAGGUAAUUCCUGAACCACUACUGCUAUAAUAUAUAAUGCUCUCAGAGAUCAGUAAGAAAGAACAACUUUGUAAGUCAAUGCAGAUUUAAUCAGUGAGUUUCUAUUGGAUUGGCAAAGACGAAAAUUGCUACAAUGGUUUAUGUUCCCUUGAAUCAGAGAGUAAGUGGUGGAAAACUGGCAAGUGGAGACCACGUGCUUGAAAGGCAAUCUCCCCUGUCGUUUGGUUUGGUUUGGGGGUGAAACGGCAGCUGUGAUGUAAAUGUUUCUUAGGUCAAUUUGCUAAGAUCUUUGCUAAGGUAUUUUUAAAGAUAGGGAAUCAUUUACUGAUGGAAAACAUACAAAUUAAAAAUUAUUAAUUAUGUUCUUGAUCCAGGGAAUGUAGUUAAUGACUUUUGUGUAGACCCCAUACUGAUCUGCUUCCCCACAAUGAAUGGAACCCCAAGACACUAUUCCUCCCACGAACCACCUCUGUGUCUCAUUAUCGAGAAACACUAGUGCCCCUCCACUGUCACCUUUACAGCUAUCCUUGCCCCCCGCUUCUAAACCAGCACAAAGCAUGUUACCAGUUACCUUUCCCCCUGGAUAGGACUUCUUUUCAUACGCAGCGGUACAUUUUUGAUGGUCAACAAUUGGUAUGUCAACAAACAUUAGAUUUCUGGCGAGAAAACCCCUUUGGGUUAAUCCCCAUCCAGAUACAGUUCCAGUGUCAUUUGUCCUCAUGAAGGAUUCAGCUUCUUUUCUUGGCAAACAGAUAGGCAUGAUGUUGCUAUUGAUUACAACCCUGUUCUUCAAUUUAAUCAAUGCUAUGUCGUUAUCAUAACCAGCAUUGUGAGUGUAACCUUCAUGUAUAAAAAUGGCCUCGGCCCAGGCUUGUGUAUAAUGAGUUGACAGUCUCUUCAGGGCAGCCAUUCUAAUGUCCAGGGAGGAGGCAUCUUCUUUUUGCCCAUAUACAUUGUGAGCAGCUGUUAGGAUCCAGUUGUCAUAUAGAAGUGCACCUGCUGCUAUGGUUUCACCUAAUAAUAGGACUUGCCAAGGAAAAUCACCAAGCUUUGCAGGUUGUCCUCCGUAUAUACGGCCUCCCGUGGUACGGGUUGAUAUUCCACAAACUGGGGAAAAAAGCAGAUGUAUAGAACCUUUAUAGAAACCUAGUGGGUGUUUUUCUCCAGUUAUUACCUCUUUGGAGUUUUGUAUAUUUAACGUUGACCAAAAACUGCAUCACAUGAAUUGGUGGGUGUCCACCUAUACAGGCAAGUGAGGCUGCUUAGAACACUGUUAAAAGACCUGAUAAAAAACUGUUUGGUAUGUCGCAACCCCUCAGAAAAUGAGGUGAGUGAAAAUUAACUUUUAGAAAUAAAUUUGUUUUGUUAAAAUAAUUUGGUCUCACAAUUGGGAAAAUUAUUUAAUAGGGCAAACAGGAAUUGUCUGAGCUGAUGUGCAUAGGAAAUGAAAGGAAAUAAGCUUUUCAUUGCUUGUUUUCCUACUUGUAAAGUAGGGGUAUUUACCACGUUCUAGGAAAGGGGAAACUAGGGUCACUGUCAGGGUUCGCAAAAUUACUUUCCCCUUUGAACGUUUGAAUUUUUUUUUAAUUUUACUUUUGGUGGGGGAGGUAAUUUGGUUUAUUUUUAGGGGAGGUACUAGGGAUUGAACCCAGGACCUUGUGCAUGCUAAGCAUGCACUCUACCACUUGAACUAUACCCUCCUCCAGAAAUGUUUUAAAAAUUAGAAUGUUGCAGUUGUAGCCAGGAACCUUCAGGUUCAGAAAUUAUUUUUGGUCUAGUUGAUUCCUAAACACUAGCCUUUACUACAUAUAUAUAUUGCUAACUAAAUACUUAUGUAAUUAAUGUAGCAAAUGUUUCCUGCUGUGGCAGAAUACUGUUACUAAAACUUGGAAACAUUGUGUCAGCUAAGAGGGUUUUUGGGGGGUUUUUUUGUUUGUUUUAAAACUAAGCCAAAUAACAUAGGGGUAAUAAAUAUAUUAUUUUGUGAUUUUUUAAAAUCACUCAACUAUAUCUUCAGAGCCAAUUCUGGUAAAACAUUUUUUAAAGUACCAUUAAAAGGCAAAUUGCAUUAAUGUUUAAAAACUAGAUGUCAUUGAAAACAAUUACUUAGGGAAAUAAUGAAGUUAUUGGCUUUGGGUUUUAAUAGCAUUUUUACAGAGAAGUAGCAGAAUUCCUGUUUAUAAAUGUAUAAAUGGUUCAAGAUAACUUUUUAAAUUGUUUAAAUUUUUAUGCUUGCCUAGUAAGGUCAGAAAUAAUCAAAUGACUGAUGCAGUCAGCACCUAACAACCUCUCCGUAUGGAAAAGGGGAUAAUGAGAACGUAUUACUUAGAAAUAAUAAUAAGUUGGUCUAAGCCAAGUGCUGAAGUUACAUUUCUGCCUACACAGCUAAAGCUCUACUUACUGUCUCCUACCCAGUUCUACUUCCCAUCAAUUACGAAUCUCUUGUAUAAAUGUAUCCAUUACCAGGCUCACAGACUGGGAGUGAUUUUUCUCCUUUGGAGCUCGUCCAGAAUCCAUCAGCCUCACACACAUAUUUACCUGCAAAUCAUUGAAAAAGCAAAAAUGUUUAACUGCAUGUAAAAGGUGGUUGUCAUUUGCUUGAAUACCCCCUUGAAAAAUGUUGAUUCUUGAGCAUCAGUGGGAAAUAGAGGUGUCUGAAUAACCAUUUUACAUGAUUUCAUAAGUAGGAGGUCUCUGCAUUACCAUGUUUGCUUGCAAAGUGGAAACCUUUUAGAUGUGUAACUUGAAUAUGUAUCAAGAUCUCAAGUGCUUAAUGAUAAGGUUUUGACUUGUUAAAUUAAACCAUUUGGAAUAUA